CCUACGGGUGGCAGCAGUGAGGAAUAUUGGUCAAUGGGCGCGAGCCUGAACCAGCCAAGUAGCGUGAAGGAUGACUGCCCUACGGGUUGUAAACUUCUUGUAUAAAGGAAUAAAGUGAGGCAAGUGUGCCUUUUUGUAUGUGUUUUAUGAAUAAGGAACGGAUAACUCCGUGCCAGCAGCCGCGGUAAUACGGUGGAUCCGAGCGUUAUCCGGAUUUUUUGGGUUUAAAUGGAGCGUAGCUGGGUUGUUAAGUCAGUUGUGAAAGUUGGCGGAUCAACCGUAAAAUUGCAAUUGAUACUGGCAGCCUUGAGUACAGUUGAGGUAGGCGGAAUUCGUGGUGUAGCGGUGAAAUGCUUAGAUAUCACGAAGAACUCCGAUUGCGAAGGCAGCCUACUAAACUGCCACUGACAUUGAUGUUCGAAAGUGUGGGUAUCAAACAGGAUUAGAUACCCCUGUAGUC
rnacentral:rRNA from 1 species